GGGAUCUAACAUGUGUGCAGACUGACUGAAAAUAAGAGAGUGGACGUGUUUAUAGUAAAAAAGAAAGAACAUUAUGAAAAACAGUGUAGCAACCUGUCUCAUUCACAUGUUCUUUGACAACAGGUCUCAUCAUGAAUUUGAAAAAUGCUGCUACUAUACCAGAGGGUUUCAAGGGAAGGCAGGCUGGGGUCCAGGUAGGUCUCUGCAGGAGGAGAUGGAGAACCAACGAUUAGCCACAGAACCAGGGAGCACAAGGAAAAAUAUCAUAGAGAGCUGGGCUACACUAACUUAAAAUAGCACAACAAUCCACCAAGGACCAACACUCCACUGUGGCCUUAAAUGGCGUCAGGGGCAAUCAGCCAGAACCAGCAUCAGGUGAGUAGAAGGAGGGUGAGGAUCCAGGAAGGCACAGGUGUCCAGACGCCACCCUAGCAGAGAAGGUGAGUAACACAUCCAGAGCAGCCACCCAGAAGCCUGACACACCUGGAGCUGUUGGGAAUCACGUCUUCACGCAUAGAAAAUCCAAAAGUGGAGGAGUGGACAUUGCAAUCGUCUACAUGCUGCUUAUGGAUUACUGAUGACCCGACAAGACAGACUGCAUGUAAGACUGGGCAGUGCUCUGUAUGAUUUGGUGAUGUUCAGUACAGGAGCUCCACAGGAGACUGUGCUGUCUUCCUGCUCUCCUUGCAAACCUCAGAACUUCUU